AUGUUUUUCCAUGUAUCCUUUUCCACUAUAAAUACCACACCAUCUCUACCCUUAAUUCUUUUGUUCUUCCACAAAAUCCCUAAACAAAAAUUUAUCUCAUGGUGAGGAUGCAAGUAAGUGCUUGAAGAAGGAAGUCAAGUUUCUACACACUACCUUGCUUCCAUAUUUUCCUCAAGAAGGGCGUAUUCGCGGAGUUUGAUUUCCAAGGCCAAGCUUUUGUAGCAUUUUAUUUGGAAGCUUUGAGGUUGAGCAAGUGAUGAAAUGGUGGCUGAGUGGAGUUGGUGGUCGUCUCAUCUCUUUUGUAGGAUUUUCGUGGCAUGUGUCUUCAUACAUAUGACCAUGUGGUUACAACUCCUUCCGCUGUGCAUGAUAGUAGUAUUUUGUAAUGUAUGGGUCGUAAGAACAAUGUCUAGUAUCGAGUGACCUUUGAUAAACAUUCUUGAUUUUAUGAUCCUUCGUUGUCUUGCGAACCUCUCUUAUCUUAUGAAAAAGUACUUGUGUGUC